GAUGAACGCUGGCGGCAUGCCUAAUACAUGCAAGUCGAACGAGAGGAAGGAAAGCUUGCUUUUCUGAAUCUAGUGGCGAACGGGUGAGUAACACGUAGGUAACCUGCCCAUGUGCCCGGGAUAACUUCUGGAAACGGAUGCUAAAACCGGAUAGGUAGCAGACAAGCAUUUGACUGCUAUUAAAGUGGCUAAGGCCAUGAACGUGGAUGGACCUGCGGUGCAUUAGCUAGUUGGUGAGGUAACGGCCCACCAAGGCGACGAUGCAUAGCCGGCCUGAGAGGGCGGACGGCCACAUUGGGACUGAGACACGGCCCAAACUCCUACGGGAGGCAGCAGUAGGGAAUUUUCGUCAAUGGGGGGAACCCUGAAUGAGCAAUGCCGCGUGAGUGAGGAAGGUCUUCGGAUCGUAAAGCUCUGUUGUAAGAGAAAAACGACAUUCAUAGGGAAUGAUGAGUGAGUGAUGGUAUCUUACCAGAAAGUCACGGCUAACUACGUGCCAGCCGCCGCUGUAA
rnacentral:rRNA from 1 species